UUCCUAGUUGGAGCAAGAGAGACAAAGAGAUCUGAUUUUGCAGAGCAGAAGUAUCACUGUGAAGCUGGGAAAUUCAACCUGCUGUUAGAUGAAAGCUCUCUCUCAUAAAGGUUAUGUGCUCUUUGAUCACAAAGAGAUGAUGCUUCUAAGCAUGGGGACCUCUGACUACAUCAGAAGGAAGCACAGCAACAGCAUUUCUUAGAAGGGCAUGGAUAAAACGAUUGAACUGCAGAGCAGUAAAACAUCAGUACUGAAGAAAGAGCAAGCAGAGAUUGAGGAAGUGAAGAUGGAAAUGCAGAUAUGCCCAGCUGCAGGAUCUCAGAGACACAUUCUAAGCAGGAACGCUGUGCUGUCCGGCAGGGAAAUGGUGGCGUGUGGAUUUGAG